rnacentral:tRNA from 1 species
CAUUAGGUUGCUGAAAGUCAGCCCUGGUCUCUUAAACCACCUUAUAGUAAAUUAACGCAUACUUCUAAUG